GAAAUGCGAUAAGUAAUGUGAAUUGCAGAAUUCAGUGAAUCAUCGAAUCUUUGAACGCAUCUUGCGCUCCUUGGUAUUCCUUGGAGCAUGCCUGUUUGAGUAUCAUGAAAUCUUCAAAGUAAAGCGUUUGUUAACUCAAUUGGUUUCUACUUUGGUAUUGGAGGUCUUUGCAGCUUCACACCUGCUCCUCUUUGUUCAUUAGCUGGAUCUCAGUGUUAUGCUUGGUUCCACUCGGCGUGAUAAGUUAUCUAUCGCUGAGGACACUGUAAAAGGUGGCCAAGGUAAAUGCAGAUGAACCGCUUCUAAUAGUCCAUUGACUUGGACAAUACUUUUAUGAUCUGAUCUCAAAUCAGGUAGGACUACCCGCUGAACUUAAGC
rnacentral:misc_RNA from 1 species